rnacentral:tRNA from 1 species
GGAUAUGGCUCAGUUGGUAGAGUGCUUGCCUUGCAUGCAAAAGACCCUGGGUUCAAUCCCCAGCACCA